CGUAGGGUGCAAGCGUUGCCCGGAUUUAUUGGGCGUAAAGGGCGCGUAGGCGGCCCGGCGCGUCCGCGGUGAAAGCUCCCGGCUCAACUGGGAGAGGUCCGCGGAAACGGUCGGGCUGGAGCAAGGUAGGGGGUCGUGGAAUUCCCGGUGUAGUGGUGGAAUGCGUAGAGAUCGGGAGGAACACCAGUGGCGAAGGCGGCGACCUGGACCUGUGCUGACGCUGAGGCGCGAAAGCGUGGGGAGCGAUCCGGAUUAGAUACCCGGGUAGUCCACGCCGUAAACGAUGCACACUAGGUGUCGGGGGUAUCGACCCCCUCGGCGCCGCAGCUAACGCAUUAAGUGUGCCGCCUGGGGACUACGGCCGCAAGGCUA
rnacentral:rRNA from 1 species